rnacentral:rRNA from 1 species
AACGGCUACCACAUCCAAGAAAGGCAGCAGGCGCGCAAAUUACCCAAUCCCGACACGGGGAGGUAGUGACAAUAAAUAACAAUAUAGGGCUCUUUCGGGUCUUAUAAUUGGAAUGAGUACAAUUUAAAUCUCUUAACGAGGAACAAUUGGAGGGCAAGUCUGGUGCCAGCAGCCGCGGUAAUUCCAGCUCCAAUAGCGUAUAUUAAAGUUGUUGCAGUUAAAAAGCUCGUAGUUGAACUUCAGACCUGGUCGAGUGGUCCGCCUAACGGUGUGUACUGCUUGACUGGGCCUUACCUCUUGGUGAGCCGGCGUGCCCUUUAUUGGUGUGCGUCGGGGAACCAGGACUUUUACCUUGAGAAAAUUAGAGUGUUCAAAGCAGGCCUAUGCCCGAAUACAUUAGCAUGGAAUAAUAGAAUAGGACGUGCGGUUCUAUUUUGUUGGUUUCUAGAGUCGCCGUAAUGAUUAAUAGGGAUAGUUGGGGGCAUUGGUAUUGAGUCGCUAGAGGUGAAAUUCUUGGAUUGACUCAAGACCGACUAUUGCGAAAGCAUUUGCCAAGGAUGUUUUCAUUAAUCAAGAACGAAGGUUAGGGGAUCGAAAACGAUCAGAUACCGUUGUAGUCUUAACAGUAAACUAUGCCGACUAGGGAUCGGGCAACCUCAAUUAUGAUGUGUUGCUCGGCACCUUACGAGAAAUCAAAGCUUUGGGUUCUGGGGGGAGUAUGGUCGCAAGGCUGAAA